UAUAUAUAUAUAUAUGUGAUAUAUGUAUGUGUAUAUAAUCGAUUGCGAUGGAAAAUUACAGUAACAAUUAUUGAGGUAACAAUGAGUACCUGCGUUUUUUGCAAAACAAAGCAAUCAAAAUAUAGUGGGCGAUCAUUUCACAAGUGAGUAUACAACGCUGAAGCGUUCUGCAAAUGAUAACUUGCAGAGGUUAUGUCAGCAUACGAAAUUUCCCGUGAAAGAUGUGUUGCGCCUUCAGCAGUGGUUAAAAGAAAUGAAGAGGAAGGACUGGAAGACAAACCGAAAUAGCACAUUGUGUUCAGCUCAUUUUGCAAAUGACUGCUUUGAUAGGACAGGAUUCCUAAUUACAUUGUAAAAGAACAGUGUACCAACUAUAUUUGACAACCCAAAAUCAGAGUGUUCAUCUUGUCACCGAUUAAGGGAAUAUGGACAUGGCUAUUCAUUCUUCAAGUUCCCAUUGGAUGAACCUGAUAUUAUGAAGCAGUGGAUCGCAAAUAUAAACAUUGGACCGUGGUCUCCAUCAAGUGAUAGCUUUCUGUGUUCCGACCACUUUGAACCCUCUAGCUUUCAGAAGAAAAGUAAAAAUUAUAUAACUUUACGAAAAGGCAGUAUCCCAACGUUAUUUGGUGAAAACUUGCAGCAGACCGAAUUUCAGGAUGAAUCCGAUCGGCCCACCACAGUGAAUUUAACCAAAUUACAUGAUCACCUACACAUUUGUACCUGAUUUGCAUGCUCAGCUCCACUUUGAUGAUCAAUGGAUGGUAAAUGGAUUCCCUAACGGUUGAAUUAGUGUUAUACAAAUUUUUGAAUAAUCCGUAUGGAAUUCAGCCCACCAUAGGAUGAAGGAUAAUGGACGGAAACUUCUUAGAAUUGAGGACUUUUGAACAUAAAGAAAAAUCACGCUUAAAUACAAGUUUUUCGUCAUAUUAUUUAAUGAUCUUUUA
rnacentral:lncRNA from 1 species